UGCAAAGAAAAUUGAAGAAGAAAUCAGAUACUAGUACUGCAGAUAAAGUACAAAAAGAAAGCCCAUGAUGUGAAGACAAUGACUAAAGACAUGAUGGAUUCUACAAAGGCUUGAAAAGUGCAUCUAUGAUUACUUGGUUAAGAAGGGGAUGCGUGAGUCUGCCGAGGCAUUCGCGAGUGAAGUUGAUCUUGAAAUUCCCACAGAUGAUGCUCCAAAAUCUCCGGGGUCAUUUCUCGCGGACUGGUGGAAUGUGUUCUCUGAUAUGCUCAUCUCUAAUCAGUCCGCCCAAGAUCCUUAUGCUGAG
rnacentral:misc_RNA from 1 species